rnacentral:lncRNA from 1 species
AAGAAGAAGAAGAAGAAGAAGAAGAAGAGCCGCCGCCUUCCAUUUCUUUCAUCACCGACCAAAUCUCCGAUUCCUCAAAAUCGCCAUUGUUCCUCAUGCUCCUCCUGCUUGUUAUGCUUCUGCUGCUCCUGCUGUACCAAUCCGCCAUUAUUUUUCCUCUAACUUGAGGAGAGAACAGAGAUGAAGGAAAAAGAUGGAAACUUUGAGCGAAAAACAGUCUGAGAGUUUGGGUUUGUAUGGAUGGGAUGAAAGAAGCUUCCUUUAUAAAAAGGGGGGAGAAAGGUGAAGUGGGUUUAAUGAAUGAGCUGGCAAUGGAAAUAACCAGAGAGCUUUUUUUAUGGUUGCUAGUUUGAUUUAAGUUCAAAUGGAUAGGACGUAGGACUUAGCAGCAGUAGCAGAGGCUAAGUCUGUGUACGUAUCAAAUCACAAUUCUUGAAUGCUAAUUAAAAUCAAUACAGAAAUGAUGGGUUUCUUCUGGUGAUAUAGGUGAAGGAGGUAGUAGUAGCCCCCAAUUUAUGACAGAGUUGGUAAAUGGAGAUUUAAAG